rnacentral:rRNA from 1 species
AUUGAACGCUGGCGGCAUGCCUUACACAUGCAAGUCGAACGGCAGCGCGGACUUCGGUCUGGCGGCGAGUGGCGAACGGGUGAGUAACGCAUCGGAACGUGCCCUGUAGUGGGGGAUAACUCUCCGAAAGGAGUGCUAAUACCGCAUAUACUGUGAGCAGGAAAGCAGGGGACCUUCGGGCCUUGUGCUAUGGGAGCGGCCGAUGUCAGAUUAGCUAGUUGGUGGGGUAAAGGCCUACCAAGGCGACGAUCUGUAGCGGGUCUAAGAGGAUGAUCCGCCACACUGGGACUGAGACACGGCCCAGACUCCUACGGGAGGCAGCAGUGGGGAAUUUUGGACAAUGGGGGCAACCCUGAUCCAGCCAUGCCGCGUGAGUGAAGAAGGCCUUCGGGUUGUAAAGCUCUUUCGGCCGGGAAGAAAUCGCCAUCUCUAACAUAGGUGGUGGAUGACGGUACCGGAAUAAGAAGCACCGGCUAACUACGUGCCAGCAGCCGCCGUAAUAC